UGGACUGUUCUGGAAUGGGCAAGUGGGAUGCCUGGACACAGGGAGGUUUGCGAGGCUCCCUCCAGAUGGGGCCCCUGGAGAACGGGGCAUCUCUGCCUGCUGCUUCCCUUCCCCAGCGGGGCCCUCCCUUUCCAGAAACACAGCAAGGCGACAGCCCCCAGGGCUGAGUGCUGUCAGGACUCAUCCGAACAGGAUUGGCUCAAAGAUCCCCCAGAUGAAAACGGAGCCGCUGAAGCUGUGGUCCCAUGGCACCUUCUCCAUCCCAGGCACUUGAACCUAGAGGCUCCUAGUAAACAGGUGUGCAAAGCAGCCAACGCUGCUGUAUGGACAGGUCCUGCCAGUGCAGGGGGGCCCUGCCCCUGCAACCCAGGAGGACUUCGAGGCCCCCGGAUCUAAAGCCUGUGUCCAGUGAGCCCACUCCAUGGACCAUUUCCCAGUGGGGUGACCCAGGACGAACAAAGUUAAGGAACCAGACGAAGGCUGCCCAGCCCGAAGCUGCCUGCGAGUUCACACUGUUCCAGCGUCCAGACACAAUGGGGUGUCACCUGCCAUCCCCAGCCUCUAAACAAAAAGACCCUGGGGCUGUCCAGACGCCAUCAAGUUGAGCAAGUGCUUUACCACCACAGGGCCCUGUCUCCACACCCACGGUCACAGGCAAAGCUCAGACUUUUGGCACUUUUCAAGCUUUAAUGGUGGUAAGGUGUGUGUAUGUGUGUGUGUGUACCUACCUUCGUCACCAUACCUUCACAUUGUGCACCCACCUCCAGUGCUUUUUCAUCUCGCAAAAUGAAAACUCUAUACCCAUUAAACCACAACUCCUUCUUUCCCCCCAGCCCCAGGCACCCAUCUUUCUAUUUUCUGACUCUAAGGAUCUGACUCCUCUCCUGACCUCAUAUAAGUGGAAUCCUCCAAUAUUUAUCCUUUUGUGACUGACAGUUCACUCAGUAUAAUGACCUCAGGAUUCAUUCAUGUUGUAGCAGGUGUUAGAACGUCCUUCCCUUUUAAGGCGCAUAAUUUUCCAGCUUACAUAUCUGCCACAUUUUGUUUAUCCACUCAACCGUGGAUAGAUGCUUACAUCACUUUCACUUUUUAGCGACUAGGAAUAAGGCUGCUGUGAAUGUGGGUGUACAAAUAUCUCUUCAAGUGUCUGCUUUCAAUUCUUUU